rnacentral:rRNA from 1 species
AACUUUCAACAACGGAUCUCUUGGCUCUUGCAUCGAUGAAGAACGCA